UACGUAGGGGGCAAGCGUUGUCCGGAUUUACUGGGCGUAAAGCGCGCGUAGGCGGAACGAUCAGUCCGGUCUGAAAGCCCCCGGCUCAACCGGGGAGGGUGGCUGGAAACUGUCGUUCUUGAGGGCGAGAGAGGAGGGUGGAAUUCCUGGUGUAGCGGUGAAAUGCGUAGAGAUCAGGAGGAACACCAAUUGCGAAGGCAGCUCGCUGGGACGUUACUGACGCUGAGACGCGAAAGCGUGGGGAGCAAACAGG
rnacentral:rRNA from 1 species